AACAAAAAGUAAAAGUCCGUCGCAGCACAGAAGAAAAAAAGUCUCCGCCCCCCCCUCCGGUUUCAUCAUGUGACAUCACAGCGAUUUACCUCUGACGGACGUGCCGAUGCUGUACAGGAAGCACAGAGCGAUGCUCACAAACAGAAGCAGCGAUGCUCAGAGUCCCACCUGUGUGACUCUCACCUGAGAACCAAGAUCCACACAAGGAUGUGACCGUUAAAGACAUGAAAACGAAAAACGGUUUUCAGCUCAAAGUCCAUGGUUCUCCCUGGAAAUAAGCGACUGUGUCUCAUCAGGACCGGCUGACGUCCCAACAGCUCAGUGUGAGCGUGUCAGUUUGGCGGCGCCCCAGGGAUGACUCAGCAGAGGAACAGUAACAGAACGUCAGGUGACAGAAGAGAACCGGCUGUUCUGAAAACUCCUCCUCCUCCUCCUCAGCUCUGUUCUUCCUCGUUACUGACGGUUAAAAAACUCAUUUCAAUGGAAGUCAGUUCCUAUGGAUCCAGGUUAAAGACACACCUGUACUCAGUUAUUUAAAGCCUGUUUUUAAUGCUUUUUAAGUUUACAUUUAUACAUAAACUCCUUUCUUGUUUCUUUUAGAUGUUUUUCUUAACCCGUUUUACGUAAAGAACUUUGAAUUGUUUACACAUUAAAUGCCUCCAUGGCAGAUUUAAAUC